rnacentral:rRNA from 1 species
GACGUAGGGCGCGAGCGUUGUCCGGAUUUAUUGGGCGUAAAGAGCUCGUAGGCGGCUUGUCGCGUCGACUGUGAAAACCCAUGGCUCAACCAUGGGCUUGCAGUCGAUACGGGUGGGCUAGAGUUCGGUAGGGGAGACUGGAAUUCCUGGUGUAGCGGUGGAAUGCGCAGAUAUCAGGAGGAACACCGGUGGCGAAGGCGGGUCUCUGGGCCGAUACUGACGCUGAGGAGCGAAAGCGUGGGGAGCGAACAGG